CCCUUAGAUGUUCUGGGCCGCACGCGUGCUACACUGAGUAAUUCAAUGGGUAAGGGAACGCUAGAGCAUUACCUAAUCUUGAAAUUUGCUCGUGAUGGGGAUCGACGGUUGCAAUUUUCCGUCGUGAACGAGGAAUACCUUGUAGGCGCAUGUCAUCAUCAUGCGCCGAAUACGUCCCUGCCCUUUGUACACACCGCCCGUCGCUCCUACCGAUUGAGUGAUCCGGUGAGGCUCUGGGACCUGGACGGAAAGAGCGUUUCGCUUGUUCUGUUUGGGAAACUUAGUCGAACCUUAUCAUUUAGAGGAAGGAGAAGUCGUAACA
rnacentral:rRNA from 1 species